UACAGGCAUGCAACCUGUCAGCUUUUGCUCUAAAUCUUGGCUCUGUGCUUGGUCCCAGUUGCUGGCAGCUGCCUCAAACUCCACUGCAUCUCUGAGAGAGAACUUCACCUUCCUGGUGACUCAGUACCUUCUACCUGCCCAGCGCUCCAUGGGUUCUGACCACUGAAGAGCUUCACUGGGCCUCAACCCCACAGGUUGCCUGAAGCUCUGCUCCAUAUACUCUUCACUCCAGGUUGAAGGUAUAGCUUCUAUUUGGAAAACUGCCACUCUUGUAGCAGACAGAAAAGCAGAAUAAGGAAAUCACAAGGUGCCUGCUAAACCUGCUUGGGAGGAACCCUCACUAAUACAUGUUCCUGCUAUGUGGAAAAAGAAAAUUAAACUGAAAAGAGGCAGAAAGAAAGAAAGACAGGACUUCAAGACAUCAAAUUCCAGGUUUCAACACACAUGGGAAAAAGAUAUAUUCAUGGAAUGUGCCUUUGAACCUGCAUUCAAAAGAAUUCAAAC